GCACUGCUGAGGAGUCCCAUACUUAGACGAAACGGUCGUCCAGUGC
rnacentral:hammerhead_ribozyme from 2 species